rnacentral:rRNA from 1 species
UACGGGGGGGGCAAGCGUUGUUCGGAAUUACUGGGCGUAAAGGGCUCGUAGGCGGCCAACUAAGUCGGACGUGAAAUCCCUCGGCUUAACCGGGGAACUGCGUCUGAUACUGGAUGGCUUGAAUCCGGGAGAGGGAUGCGGAAUUCCAGGUGUAGCGGUGAAAUGCGUAGAUAUCUGGAGGAACACCGGUGGCGAAGGCGGCAUCCUGGACCGGCAUUGACGCUGAGGCAUGAAAGCGUGGGGAGCAAACAGG